UGUCGUAUAGCUCACAUUGGUGAGAGCACUUGCCUUAUAAGCGAGAGGUUCUGGGUUCGAUUCCCAGUACGACUAGGAA
rnacentral:tRNA from 1 species